AGCAUUGCCCGGUAUCAGGAGUUAAAUGCAGAAAACUGCUAACAUUCAAUGUUUGUGCUUUGGAAGGCACACAGCAUUCAAAGCUUGAUGGAGGCCAUUUGCCUAGAAUCUAUUUUAAGAAGAAGAUUACAUGUAAGGAGAAAUUUUCUGAUCAUGAGAUUAAGCUCUGGAACAUGAAUUUAAGGGAGUGGUGGGCGCUCCCUGUUGAAGAUCUUCAUAAUCUAUAUAUUUUGGAAAAGACUGUUAGAAGUGAGUAGGUUAAAUAUGAACAGAGACUUCUGAUUAUAAGUUUAUGUAACAGAACUGCUCAGCUCUGGGCACUGGACAUGGGGUGGGGCUUUGGUAGCUUCCGGUGGAAUGACGUGGCCCUCCAUGAAUGGGUGUUGGGGUUGGAUACAUAACCGUCACUUCUCUGCACAGCUCCUCACAGCUUUGCCUCAUUUGCAAACAUCUGAGGGAUUAGUAAAUAUUAGUAGAUAUGUGUUGUCAAGUAAAUAGACUUUGUGAGAGGUGCCAACACCUGCUGGUGCUAAGUGCUUGUGCUUCUCUCUGGCUCCAAGUCUUCCUCUCUGCCUCCUUGUCCCAAAGGCUUUUGGCAUGGAUGUGGGGAGAUCCAGCUUUACGGAAAGACAAAGGAAGAAAGGGGCAGGUAACCUUCAAGGGGAAAGUAACCAAAAAACACCUCAUUUUGGGAGGCAUUGGAGAAAAUGAAGAAAGACACAGAUAACAGAGUGACAACUGCCUAGGGAGUUACAACUGGAAGGAUGGUGAAAACUGUUUUUUGGGCAUGACCAUCUGAAACUAACAGGACAUUUGACUUUGGAAUCCAGAUACCACAAUUGGAGGAGCCAAGAAAAAGAAACCACAUGAAGAUGCUAUGUGUGGGGGUCGGGCCGUCAGCCCCAGCUAAAAUCCCAGCAGACAGCCAGCCUCAAUGCCAGGAGUAAGACAUUCCCUGGUGACCGCAGCCAUACAGUCACCCUUAGCUUUUGAGUCUUCCCAGCUGAGGCCCCAGACACUGUGGGACAGAAACCAGUCAUCCCUAUGUGUCCUAUCUGAAUUCUUGACCCAUACGGUCCAUAAGCAUAAUAAAAUGAUGGUUUCAUGCCACUAAAUUUUGGGAUGGUUUGUUAUACAGCUGCAGUUAACAUGAAUACCCAGUGUCCUUCUUAGU